GCUAUUAUGGUCCAACGGUUAAGACAUCAGUUUGUGGUAUUACUACAAACCACUGAAGACCGAGGUUCGACUCCUCGUAAUGGCA
rfam:Trichoderma atroviride IMI 206040 TRIATcontig_28, whole genome shotgun sequence.